rnacentral:rRNA from 1 species
GACGAACGCUGGCGGCGUGCUUAACACAUGCAAGUCGAACGGAAAGGCCCUGCUUUUGUGGGGUGCUCGAGUGGCGAACGGGUGAGUAACACGUGAGUAACCUGCCCUUGACUUUGGGAUAACUUCAGGAAACUGGGGCUAAUACCGGAUAGGAGCUCCUGCUGCAUGGUGGGGGUUGGAAAGUUUCGGCGGUUGGGGAGGGACUCGCGGCUUAUCAGCUUGUUGGUGGGGUAGUGGCUUACCAAGGCUUUGACGGGUAGCCGGCCUGAGAGGGUGACCGGCCACAUUGGGACUGCGGUACGGCCCAGCCUCCUCCGGGAGGCAGCAGUGGGGAAUAUUGCACAAUGGGCGGAAGCCUGAUGCAGCAACGCCGCGUGCGGGAUGACGGCCUUCGGGUUGUAAACCGCUUUCGCCUGUGACGAAGCGUGAGUGACGGUAAUGGGUAAAGAAGCACCGGCUAACUACGUG